rnacentral:rRNA from 1 species
AUUGAACGCUGGCGGAAUGCUUUACACAUGCAAGUCGAACGGCAGCACGGGAGCUUGCUCCUGGUGGCGAGUGGCGAACGGGUGAGUAAUGCGUCGGAACGUGCCGAGUAAUGGGGGAUAACGCAGCGAAAAGUUGUGCUAAUACCGCAUACGCCCUGAGGGGGAAAGUGGGGGAUCGCAAGACCUCACGUUAUUCGAGCGGCCGACGUCUGAUUAGCUAGUUGGUGGGGUAAAGGCCUACCAAGGCGACGAUCAGUAGCGGGUCUGAGAGGAUGAUCCGCCACACUGGGACUGAGACACGGCCCAGACUCCUACGGGAGGCAGCAGUGGGGAAUUUUGGACAAUGGGGGCGAACCCUGAUCCAGCCAUUCCGCGUGAGUGAAGAAGGCCUCGGUU